rnacentral:rRNA from 1 species
UACAGAGGGGGCAAGCGUUGUUCGGAAUUACUGGGCGUAAAGGGCGCGUAGGCGGCCUGCUAAGUCGAACGUGAAAUCCCUGGGCUCAACCCAGGAACUGCGUCCGAUACUGGUUGGCUUGAAUCCGGGAGAGGGAUGUGGAAUUCCGAGUGUAGAGGUGAAAUUCGUAGAUAUUCGGAAGAACACCAGUGGCGAAGGCGACUCGCUGGACAGGUAUUGACGCUGAGGUGCGAAAGCGUGGGGAGCAAACAGG